AUUGAACGCUGGCGGCAUGCCUUACACAUGCAAGUCGAACGGCAGCAUGGAGAGCUUGCUCUCUGAUGGCGAGUGGCGAACGGGUGAGUAAAGCAUCGGAACGUACCGUGUAGUGGGGGAUAACGUAGCGAAAGUUACGCUAAUACCGCAUACGCACUGAGGUGGAAAGCAGGGGAUCGUAAGACCUUGCGCUAUACGAGCGGCCGAUGUCAGAUUAGCUAGUUGGUAGGGUAAAGGCCUACCAAGGCGACGAUCUGUAGCGGGUCUGAGAGGAUGAUCAGCAACACUGGGACGGAGACACGGCCCAGACUCCUACGGGAGGCAGCAGUGGGGAAUUUUGGACAAUGGGGGCAACCCGGAUCCAGCCAUGCCGCGUGGGUGAAGAAGGCCUUCGGGUCGUAAAGCUCUUUCCGCCGGGAAGAAAUCGCACAGGCUAAUACCCUGUGUGGAUGACGGUACCGGCAUAAGAAGCACCGGCUAACUACGUGCCAGCCGCCGCCGUAA
rnacentral:rRNA from 1 species